GACGAACGCUGGCGGCGUGCUUAACACAUGCAAGUCGAGCGGUAAGGCCCUUUCGGGGGUACACGAGCGGCGAACGGGUGAGUAACACGUGAGCAAUCUGCCCUUGACUUUGGAAUAACCAUUGGAAACGAUGGCUAAUGCCGAAUAUGACCCCCCUUCGCAUGUUGGGGGGUGGAAAGCUCCGGCGGUCAAGGAUGAGCUCGCGGCCUAUCAGCUUGUUGGUGAGGUAAUGGCUCACCAAGGCAUUGACGGGUAGCCGGCCUGAGAGGGUGUCCGGCCACACUGGGACUGAGACACGGCCCAGACUCCUACGGGAGGCAGCAGUGGGGAAUAUUGGACAAUGGGCGAAAGCCUGAUCCAGCAACGCCGCGUGAGGGAUGACGGCCUUCGGGUUGUAAACCUCUUUCAGUAGGGACGAAGCGAAAGUGACGGUACCUACAGAAGAAGGACCGGCCAACUACGUGCCAGCAGCCGCGAGUAAAAC
rnacentral:rRNA from 1 species